UAUCUGGUUACUUCCACUGCUAAUUCUUAUGUAGUGGCUUCAGCAAGUUCUGAGCACAGUGUUUCAUUAUGCCUGACGCGUUGCAUGUGUGCUUUUUAUAAUCAGUACAGUUUGCCUUGUGCACACAUUAUAGCAGCUCGCCAUUUUGCCCAGCAAGACCUUUUUGACAAAGCAUGCAUACCGGACAGGUGGUGUAAGGAUCAUUUCCUGAGUGACAGCUGCAUGGCCUCAAGUGCCACACCAGUGGUGACAAGCAGCAUUCAGCUGCUGCCAUCUGUGAAGCUCGACACUGCUCAAGAAAAGUCCACUGAUGUACCAGCUGCAUGCAUUCACACUACCAUCAAGUCAUCAGGAGCGUCUGUACCUCUAUCUAAAUAUUACACUAUUGUCUAAGAUGGAAAAUCAGACUUGUAUAUUUUGCUGUAAUGGUUCUGCCAAUAAAAGAUUGAUUACACAUA